AUUAUUGGAGGUAGAGCACUGUUUGGACGAGGGGCCCCUCUCGGGUUACCGAAUUCAGACAAACUCCGAAUGCCAAUUAAUUUAACUUGGGAGUCAGAACAUGGGUGAUAAGGUCCGUGUUCGAAAGGGAAACAGCCCAGACCACCAGCUAAGGUCCCAAAAUAUAUGUUAAGUGGAAAAGGAUGUGGCGUUGCCCAGACAACUAGGAUGUUGGCUUAGAAGCAGCCAUCAUUUAAAGAGUGCGUAAUAGCUCACUAGUCGAGUGACACUGCGCCGAAAAUGUACCGGGGCUAAACAUAUUACCGAAGCUGUGGAUUGUCCUUUGGACAAUGGUAGGAGAGCGUUCUAAGGGCGUUGAAGCAUGAUCGUAAGGACAUGUGGAGCGCUUAGAAGUGAGAAUGCCGGUGUGAGUAGCGAAAGACGGGUGAGAAUCCCGUCCACCGAUUGACUAAGGUUUCCAGAGGAAGGCUCGUCCGCUCUGGGUUAGUCGGGUCCUAAGCUGAGGCCGACAGGCGUAGGCGAUGGAUAACAGGUUGAUAUUCCUGUACCACCUAUAAUCGUUUUAAUCGAUGGGGGGACGCAGUAGGAUAGGCGAAGCGUGCGAUUGGAUUGCACGUCUAAGCAGUAAGGCUGAGUAUUAGGCAAAUCCGGUACUCGUUAAGGCUGAGCUGUGAUGGGGAGAAGACAUUGAGUCUUCGAGUCGUUGAUUUCACACUGCCGAGAAAAGCCUCUAGAUAGAAAAUAGGUGCCCGUACCGCAAACCGACACAGGUAGUCAAGAUGAGAAUUCUAAGGUGAGCGAGCGAACUCUCGUUAAGGAACUCGGCAAAAUGACCCCGUAACUUCGGGAGAAGGGGUGCUCUUUAGGGUUAACGCCCAGAAGAGCCGCAGUGAAUAGGCCCAAGCGACUGUUUAUCAAAAACACAGGUCUCUGCUAAACCGUAAGGUGAUGUAUAGGGGCUGACGCCUGCCCGGUGCUGGAAGGUUAAGAGGAGUGGUUAGCUUCUGCGAAGCUACGAAUCGAAGCCCCAGUAAACGGCGGCCGUAACUAUAACGGUCCUAAGGUAGCGAAAUUCCUUGUCGGGUAAGUUCCGACCCGCACGAAAGGCGUAACGAUUUGGGCACUGUCUCAACGAGAGACUCGGUGAAAUCAUAGUACCUGUGAAGAUGCAGGUUACCCGCGACAGGACGGAAAGACCCCGUGGAGCUUUACUGUAGCCUGAUAUUGAAAUUCGGCACAGCUUGUACAGGAUAGGUAGGAGCCUUUGAAACGUGAGCGCUAGCUUACGUGGAGGCGCUGGUGGGAUACUACCCUAGCUGUGUUGGCUUUCUAACCCGCACCACUUAUCGUGGUGGGAGACAGUGUCAAGCGGGCAGUUUGACUGGGGCGGUCGCCUCCUAAAAGGUAACGGAGGCGCUCAAAGGUUCCCUCAGAAUGGUUGGAAAUCAUUCAUAGAGUGUAAAGGCAUAAGGGAGCUUGACUGCGAGACCUACAAGUCGAGCAGGGUCGAAAGACGGACUUAGUGAUCCGGUGGUUCCGCAUGGAAGGGCCAUCGCUCAACGGAUAAAAGCUACCCCGGGGAUAACAGGCUUAUCUCCCCCAAGAGUUCACAUCGACGGGGAGGUUUGGCACCUCGAUGUCGGCUCAUCGCAUCCUGGGGCUGUAGUCGGUCCCAAGGGUUGGGCUGUUCGCCCAUUAAAGCGGUACGCGAGCUGGGUUCAGAACGUCGUGAGACAGUUCGGUCCCUAUCCGUCGUGGGCGUAGGAAAUUUGAGAGGAGCUGUCCUUAGUACGAGAGGACCGGGAUGGACAUACCUCUGGUGUACCAGUUGUCGUGCCAACGGCAUAGCUGGGUAGCUAUGUGUGGACGGGAUAAGUGCUGAAAGCAUCUAAGCAUGAAGCCCCCCUCAAGAUGAGAUUUCCCAACUUCGGUUAUAAGAUCCCUCAAAGAUGAUGAGGUUAAUAGGUUCGAGGUGGAAGCAUGGUGACAUGUGGAGCUGACGAAUACUAAUCGAUCGAAGACUUAAUCAA
rnacentral:rRNA from 1 species